UACGUAGGGGGCUAGCGUUGUCCGGAAUCAUUGGGCGUAAAGAGCGCGUAGGCGGCUAGAUAAGUCCGGUGUGAAAGUCACAGGCUCAACCUGUGAAUGCCGCUGGAAACUGUCUGGCUAGAGUCCGGAAGGGGCGAGUGGAAUUCCUGGUGUAGCGGUGAAAUGCGCAGAUAUCAGGAGGAACACCAAUGGCGAAGGCAGCUCGCUGGGACGGUACUGACGCUGAGACGCGAAAGCGUGGGGAGCAAACAGG
rnacentral:rRNA from 1 species